rnacentral:lncRNA from 1 species
UCAAAGUCAAACUAGACGGUGUGAGAUGGGUUUCUUUGCUUGUUCCUCAAGCCUAUACCAAGUCCUAUAAGUAUACAAAUUAAUUCAUUCUUUCUUCUCACUUCCAACACAAUUUUGAUUAUCAUUGAUAAAUUUGAAACUAGAAAUGGCAUCUGCAGGAUUUGGACUAGCUGAAACAUACGUGAUGCAAAAGAUGUACAAUGAAAAAAUGAAGAAAAUAGCACAUGAAGAGAAACAAGAUGUUUCUCCUGGUAUGGUUAGAAAGGAUUCUAUUCACAAAACAUCAAUUGGUUGUUUCUCCUUUUUUCCCAAACAUCAGCAUAGGAAUAUUUCUCGGAUAUCAGAUUCCAACGACUCAUGACUUCAAAUUGUGUUACAUAAUUAAUUCUUCAUUUCUUUUUUUUUUUUUUUAAUCUCCAAUAGAUGCUGAUUAAUUCAUCUUGUUGGUUAGAAAAUUAUAUUAUUUGCAAGUGAACAUGUAAUGAACUGUUCUAUAAAGUAUCAAAUUGUAAGUUUGUUUAUCCAAUGAAUUAAUAUUAUCAUUUUGGACGUCUAAGCUCUUUCUCAACUUAGUCUUUUUGUGCCACUCUUCUGGUUAGUUUAUGUUUGUUUUCAAGAGAAACUCACACUUGUAAGAUGAGUGAUUAAAUCUGGCAUCGUCUCUCAAUGAAUAAAAUAUUGGAUAUAUAAGAGAGUUGAUGAACUUCUAUAUAUGUUCAUUUAUAUAUUUACUUUAUUUUAACUAUAAGACUAUCAUUUGAUUCGGUUGUAGAAUUUUCAGAUUAAAAAUAUAUUAUUUGAUAUCCUUGAUUUUGAUAGGAUAUUGAUAACUUGUAAAAAGUUAAUUUAAAAUUUAAAUUCAUUUUGAAUUAAUAUUAGUUAAAUAAAAAGAUGGACAAAAGGGUAUAAAAUGAUUGAAUUAAUGAUGAGUAAUUCUUAUUCUUUGAUUAUGUAUUUUGUCAAUAUCAGUAACUAAAAUACUUUAAAUUAAGGUUGAAUGAUGAACCUCUAUAUAAUUGUUUGAACUAUGAAAUCUAUGAUGUCUUCUUUUAAAACAAUUUGAAUUAUGUUGUUGAGUAUAUUUUAUGCUAAAGGAUUUUCAACGCCGGAUCAACUUUGAACUAUGUAAUCUAUUACAUAAUACUUAUCAAAUAUUAUCGUAGUCCCGUUAGCAUUACUCAAUUGGCAGAGAUGUUGCAGUAUGCGGUUGUCGGAAUUCAAAUUUUAAAUUUCUUACUUAUUCAUCUUAAUUGAUGAAUUUUUACCCACUAUAUUAUUUUUAAAAAAAAAAGUUUUGAAUUAAAUAUAUCCAAUAAUUUCAAAAUAUUGUAUUAGUUUUCAAACAUUCCGAGUAAAAAUCUACCUAACCAUAUAUCGAAUUUCACUUUUUUUUUUGGGUCAAGGAAAAGUUCACUUUUUUAGUCAACACAAUACGAUAAAAAGAUUGGCAAUGUAAUGAUGAUGAAAAAGAAAUGGUAUUUCACGGAAGCUUCACAAUUUUGCUUGGUCACCAAGAUUGAUAUGUCUACUAGCUAUCAAACAAAAAACAUCACUAUUGAUAAUUUAUUGCGUAUGACAAUAAAAUGCAAACAUGUCUAUAUAUACAAAUGAACAAAUCAACUACAUAACUGACCCAAAAAAAAAAGUCACACUAUUGUAUUGUUGAAGAGUGAAGAGGACGUAUAAGAUGGCAGUGGGAGUUGAUGUUGCAGAAGCAUGUGUGUUAAGAAAGAUGUGUAAAGAAAAAAUGAAGGAAGGAGAAGAAGCAAAGGGACCCAAGAAUAGCAUGAUUGAAGCAAAGACCCAAAGAUCAAGUGGAUGUUUGUUUUGGUUUUCUAAGAAGCUAGGAAGAAUUACACGAAUUAGAGACAUCAAUGAGACCGAGCGGAAAAAGAAGGUAUUGAUUAGAUAAUUUUGUCCUUACAUAUAUUAUGCAGUGUUUUUACCAACUGAAUUAAACUCACAGAGAUGUAUUAUAUUAUAUAGUGAUUAAUUCAAUAUGUAUUGAUUUGUCAAAUGAAAUAAAAUAUUCAAUAUAUAUUAUAUUGUUGUAUGUUUUGAUGUUAUUUGUGUUCGUCUUCACCACAUGGGCGAAAUCGUGAACAAUUAUUUGCAUGAUUUGUUUGUUUAAUCUGAAGCUCCCACAACAUACUCACAAUCUCAAAAUAACUCAUACCUCCGACGUAGACGACUAUUAGACUAUUAUUCAUGUUCAUCAUUCAUCAAAAAAUAUAUAUCAAUGAGAAAUUCAUAUAAAUCUAUGUAUGCAUCACUCCCAGUUUAGAAUGCAAUGCCUACAAGCAUAAAUGAUUAUGGAAUUUUCCAAUUCAAUUAGCAACGAGUUGUGGGUUCUACAACAGUGUGACACCACAACGUGGGGCUAAGUUAAAGUGGGUCCUACAAUAGAGUGACAUCACAUUAUAAGUGUUAACAUAGAAUUUUCCAUAUCUGCACAACUUAAUUACUCUUGCAGUGUUAUGUAUAUCUAUUAGUGGAUGUCGAUCUAUUAUCCUUCCACAUGAUUGUAACUUCCACGAGUAAGUGGAUUGUAAAGUGUCUAUUCUUUCACCUAUUUGUAUCUUAUAAAUAUGACCUAUAAUGCAAAGUAAAGGUACACUUGUGAAGCAAUGCAAUAUACUCUUUUAUUCUCACUUUAUCCUUUUCUCUCUACUUUUAUAUGUUGUACAAUAUCAUGCAAUACUUUAGAUUAAUUUCAUAACACGUUAUCAGCACGGAGCUCUAAACAAUCCAAGGUAAAAUUAAUUCCUAUUUUUUUGGUAUUGCUUGCUGCGUUAUUCUAUCACUACUGUUAAUAAUAUCCGGUCGUGUAUGUUCAUUAGCAUGUUUUUGAUAAUGACUAUUAUAAUAAUAUCAAUAAAAAUAUUGAUGCAUGCAUGGUGAACUUCUUGUUUUCUUACGGAACUAUGUUUUUGGUGGUUUCUUAAUUGAGCAAAUAGUCACUUUGUUUUCUGACUCUGCACCUCGCUGUCACAUAGGUCCCUGACUCGGAUUAAAUACAAAUAAGUCUCUGAUUCUGCACUUCUGUUAUCACUUUAAUCUCUGACGUUAAAAAAUUUUGUUAAGUGAUGAUGUGGCGCAUAUGAGGUGUCACAGGGACCAAAGUGAAAGUAGAAAAUGGUCACUUUGGUCUCUGAACCAAAAAUCAAUAUUCCCAAAUUGAAUAUCAAAUUCCUAAAUCCUUAAAUCUCAAAUCCAUAAAUGUCAUCUAAUUCUCUCUUUUGUUCAAAAUUAAUCUUCCAUUAAACAAAUCUUAUUGUUAGGUCCCUAACUGUGCAUACUUACUAUCAGUUAGAUCCCUGACAAUGAAUUAGCAAAUCCAUUAGCAUCUAUUACUCUUGAUUAUUGUUAUAUUCACAUGAUAAUUCAUAUCAUUACCGCAUAGGUCUGAGCAUACAAUAAUCAAGAGCUCAAGAUAUGUUCAAAUGAUAAUUCAUUUCUAUUGAAUUUCUUUUAACAUAAUUUCUAACUCAAAAUUUGUUCUACUUAGUAGGUACUAGUGCUACAUCUAACAUAAGUUGUUUAUGUUUCCAAGUUUAUUAUCAAAUUUCUCACUUUAAUUUUUUCUUUCAUGAGAAGUUAAAGCAACUAAAGCAUAAGUUCUUUCAGAUUUUUUUUUUCAAGAAAUUUUGGUUUUUUAAUGGCCUAUAAAGGGUGUUUUUAGAAAAAUAAAAUUUUUACGAGGGUGCAAAUCAAACCGAAAAUUUUAUAGGGGCGAAAACCGGAAAUGACAUAUAUUACAGGGGUGAAAAGCACUAUUAACCCGUCUAGAUUUAAUACAAUUCACAAUGGGAUCCUAGAAACACAAUCUCCGAGGAUUACCACCAAUAGGCAGGCCCAAGUACAAGAAAUGAACCUUUCCCACUUUACAAUUCAGCACGGAUGCAGCCUCAUUCAACCAGGAAAGGGCGAUGUUAAGAGCCUCAAAAAUAAUAAGAGUUGCCCUUAAAGCACAGACAUUGCCCUAGCUUAUAGUUCAAUCAACAAAGUAUCAUCUGCAAAUUGAAGAUGAGACACACCAAACUAUUUGACCUCCCCAAUACUGUAAUCAGUGAAUAACUGAGUCCCAACCAACGAUUCAAUCAGGAUAUUAAGUCCUUCUGCCACCAACAAAAACAAGAAAGGAGACAGCGGGUCACAUUGCCUUAACCCUCUCUUAAGCGGGAAAUCGUCAGUGGGGCUGCCAUUCACUAAAACAAACGUUGUGGCUGUACUGACCCACUUUCUAAUCCACUCUCUCCAAAGCACAGGAAAAGACAUACGGCCCAAAACAGAGUCCAAAUACCCCCAAUCUACCGAGUCAUAUGCCUUUUCAAAAUCCACUUUGAACAAACAUAAGGUUUUUUUUGUUUUUUACGAGCCUCAUCAACAACUUCAUUAUCUAUCAAAAUCCCAUCCAGAAUUUGUCUAUUUUUUACAAAAGUUGACUGAGAGUCCGAAAUAACAUAAAAAAUAACCCAACACAAUCUAUUAUGGGAGCUAUCGACUUUAGGAAUUAGAGUAGUAAAAGUAGCGUUGAUACCUUUGGUCAAUUUACCAUUGUGGUGAAACCCGGACUUUUGAAUCUGUCACAAUCCCAAAUAGCUUCCUUAACUUCAUCCAAUGAAAAAGGUUUAAUUAAACUCAUACCCUUUGCCACAGACAAGGAACAAAACUGCAUAUUUGAGACAAUGGGUCGGUCCACAUUUAAUGACUGAAAAUGCCCCGCAAAAUGCGAGAAAACAACAUUACGGAUAGGGUGCACACCCUCCACCAUCACACCGUCAACCAAAAUAGAACACAAUGCAUUAUGGCGCCUCCUCCGAGAGCACAACUGACAGUAGACCACACCUCCACCUCAGAAGUAUCCCACACCGACAACAACCCCCCGGAUGCCCCUUGAGAAGGACGAAAGGAAAAAGAAACCGGAUGGUUACCCCACAAUGAAGCACAAAAAGCAUCGUCACACACUUGCAGCUUUGUUUCUUGUAAACACAAAAUAAAUGGAUUUUUUUCUGUUACUAAAGAACGAACCUCCUUCCUCUUUUCAAUGCCAUCUAACCCCCGCACAUUCCAAGAAAUCAACCUCGUCUCCAACACCCUCACCCCCCACCCCCCACCCCCCCCCCCCCCCCCCACACAAACCACCUCCGACACCUAACAACCACCGCCUAGCCGUACCCCUUCCCUCCCCAUCCUCCUGACAGCGUGCCUCACCCCUCCCUCUCCCUCUCUCAUUCCUCGCUAACACCCCAAACAUAUUAUGAGUAUCCCCUUGAAAGGAACCCCAAUUGCCUUACCAAUGUCCUACACAUCCUCCACUGCCACCUUCUUAUUCCCAUGCAAAACCACCCAAUGAGACCAAUCAUUAUUCACCGAGGCUGAUGAAGAAGUGCCAUCAGAUGCAUUUUGUGACACCACAUCCACCGUCUUCUUAAGCCUAUCUGAACCUUGUCGCUUCCUGACUUUUUUCUUUAGAAUUUUCAAAACAAAUGAAUGAUCUUUACAUGGUAACCUUGCCACUGUUUUUAGACUAUGCAUAGAAUGACGUAAGACUCCAUCCAUUUUCUUACGCUUCUUGACAAUGGUACCAACCUAAAUAGUUGAAUCCCUAGGUCGCACCACCUUCUUUCUAAAGGAUGAGAUAACACCAUCAUCACCAUGGUGUUGAUCACUUAACCACUCAAGGCUCCACGCUCCCGAUUCUAAAGAACGAGCAGCCAGGGGUGGACAAGACGACCUACGGACUCUCCGGCCAUUUUUCUUAGGACCCGAAGCCACACUAUCAGCUGAAACAGAAACCUUGUCUUUUAGCAAGUUAUAACUAAAAAGUGGAUAAUUACACCUUAAGGUGUGAGUUGCUAAAAGACACCUUCAUAAAAAUUAAUGUGUAUCAAGUGAGAGGAGUAUUUAUGGUGAGAGAUGAGAGGAACAAAUAUUGACCAUUAGAUUAAAUUGAAUGGAUCAGAUUAAGUUGUUCACACUUUCAUUUGUUGUAGACUAGCAACAUCUUCAUCCCUGCAACCCUGCGCCUUCGUUUUCUCCCUCAGGAACAAUUUUGAUUUUGUCAAUUACAGACUCAUAAUUCUUCAAAUCCAAUCCGACUAAAAAUAACUUAGAACUAGAAAGCCUUGGAUUUUUAAUAGAGUAAAACAACAACAAUGAAUGAACAUAGUAAUUUUAUGGUCUUCUUUGUCAAAUUUUCACGCUUCCGUCUUUAUUGAAAUUAACUUAGAAAAAAGAAGUUAUGUGGUGUCUAUUUAUGAUUUAUGAAACUAGUAUUAAUAACUCCAUUAAUGAUCUUACGACAACAUAUGUUACAAUUUAACCUAGUUAAAUUGCGUCGUUCGCCAAAGAAGAGAGUAUAAAACCCUAGAUUUCCACUUAAAUUUCAUUAACAUAAUUGAGAAAUAAGUAAUUGGUACUAUUAGGAACGGGUAAAGAAUUUUGGAUUAUCAAUCCUAAUUUUCAAAUACGAAUCAAUUUUUAAGAUUACUGAUGCAGAUUCUCAGUUGAAAAAGCAUUAGGAAAAGAGAAGUACAAAUUUAAAUCUGACACAAGAAAAUCACAAAUGAAUGAAAACUUUAAUAACAUAAUCCAAUAAAUAAAAAGAAGUUCAUCUAUAUCCCUAAUCAAAGAGGUUUAGUUACUCAUUGCAACAAACAUCAUAACAAAACAAUAGAAAAACAUAUCUUAGAGAGAACAAGAGGAGGAUGAAGACCCUCUUCCUUGGAGCUCUGAUGUUUAACCCUUGCCUUGAACCACUAGCUUUAUAAAUGAAUAAUAAUAUGUUCAAGGGUGUCUAUUGAUAGCAUAUGCUUACUUAGGGUUUAAGAGAAGAAAAGUGGGCCUUUUCCACCGUUUCAUCUUGAAAAACAAGCUACGGGCAAUUUCUACCCGCAGCUGUACGUAUAUGCACAUGACAGGGGCAGAUGAAGUGCAUGGGGCAGUGGUAAAACUGUCUCAUGCACAAGUGGCACAUGGCCUAUGCGUAGGAGGCGUAUGAGGUAGACCCUGUGUGCGAAAUCUUGCAUUCUCGUCCCGUUUUUUUAUUGUUCUUCCGUCUGGAAACUCCUAGGAACUUGAAUGAAUUUUCUUCACUUUGCAUUAUCUACAAAAACCUUCUAAUAUCCAUUGAUAUUCAAUCUUCAUAUCCUUGAUCGUUCAUGUGAUGUCUUAAUUUUUCGAUUUACAUGAUUUCUCACUAUAAAACACUCAAAACACAUAUGAAGUUGCAUCAUUUAGGAUAAAAAUGAAAUACAACAACUCCAGUGAAAACAAUACAAUAUGUUCCUCAAACCAUUGAGAAAUCCUCUAACUCUCAUCUUAUUUGUCUUCAAAUGCAAAUAAAAGUACUAAAAACAUAGCCAAAAAUAAUAUAUGAUGCUCUGUCAUCAGUUGUACUUUGGCAUUUGUUUUCUUUGAUUCGCUUCAUCUAGUUGAUGUACCAUUGUUUAUGUCCUGCAAAAUGGUUGCAUUGGACAAUUUUGUCUAGUUUUUAAAUUGAUUUUGUCAGUUAUGAGGGAUCUUCCCCUCGUUAUAGAUAGUGGUUUCUUUUUAUUGUUAUUUCGUCGUAUUUUCUUUCUCCAUUAUCGCCUUUUAUGUCUCGCAUAGAGGUUUCCUUAUUCUUGAAAACUCUUUUCCUCAAGUUGAAAAUUUCAUUACUCCUUACAGAUAUUCACUUUUGGGAGUUUCUUUAUUCCACGAAGCUUUUUUUGAGUGACGUUGAACAUAUGUUUACAUUCAGUGGUAAACAUAGUCCUUCGUCAUCUACCCAUAUUACGUUUAUUUUAUCCUUGUAACAACUUUAUUUAUUAGGUUAUACAUCACUCUAAUUUGUUACCCGUAAAAAACACUCUUCCAACCCUGCUGCUACAUUGUUUCCGCGAACUGCUACUUCAAACAUCCUCUAACGUGAAGUGUGAGUAAUCUAUUAUUCAAUCGUCUACAUCGUGUUGAUAUCGAUUACAUCGUUAUUGUUUCUUUACUCUAUUAUCCUUAUUUAAUUUAACCAAGUUUAAGCGUAAAACAAUAAAUUAAUUUUAAAAUUUCUCCUCUCCCCUUGUGAACCAACACAUUUUUAAUUAAAAUCUCUCUCAUCCCGUCCUCUCCCCUCUUUUGAACAAACAUAUAUUUAAUUAAAUUAUCUACCCUCCCUUUCCCUCCCCUCCAUUAAAACCCCUCCCCUCCCAUUUGUUGAACCAAAAGGACCCUUAAUAUAAUAUUAGAGUGUUUAGAUAACGAAAUAAUUCAAGAUAAGGCAGAAAUAAAGUGUUAUCGUUGUGCUAUAAUUUAUGGUCCUUUUGACAUAAUUUUGUGCAUAUAAUCAUCAUUUCAUCAUUGGAAAUAUUAUGCGAUGAUCUAUGACAAUCGUGGAACCAUCAGAAGAGCACUAAAAGCAUAAUUCGAAAAUACUCGCAUAUCGUGCCACAAAUUUCAGCAGUGUGACACGAUUUAUCUAUUAAGACACUAGACACGUAAGAUUAAUUUCUCAUAACAUGGCACGAUUUUGCAGUUACAUAACCAGGUCAAUAAAUAGACCUUUGAGCUAAAGAAUAUUCAAUAUUCACUUUUGAGAAACCCUUACCGCGCAAGCUUCUGAUCUAAAAUCAGUCUCUCUCAAAAAUUUUGUUUGGUCAUAGCUAACAUAGUUGAUAGUAGAGGAAUUCUUCUUAUGUGGACUCAGUAAAGGCAUUAUUUUUCGUGCAGCACUCGUGAUCAAACUUUGUUCCUACCAUCAAAGGUUUUGCGCUACAAGAGGUAAUCACUCAAUCACGGAUUCAUGAUCAUUUGUAAUGAUCCAUUGAAAGUAAAAUUUGGUUUAUAUUGCAAUUAUGUAUGUUCAUAAUUUCCCUUCAAGAAAUUCGUCCCACUUUAGAAAUUGAGAAAAUUAAUAUGUAUUGUAGAGAAAUCACUUCGGUAAUAUCAGAAAUACUCUCUUCUUUCCUAAUUAUAAGCAAAUUUAACUUUUUAGGUUCAUCAAUUAAUGAUGUAUGUGGUCCUUAAUAUAAAUCAUAUGCAUCAUUAAUAGAAUGAAUCUAAAAAGUUAAAUUUGCUUAUAAUUAAGAACGGAGUGAGUAUGACUUUGAGAGUAUAAUUUUGUAAAAAGAAAUAUUGAUACUCUAUUUUAAAAUUGCUCUAAUAUUUACUAAAUUUUGUAUAUUCUUAUUUAUAAAUAUUUGAGGUUUAGGGCGUCACACUAACUUCUCAAGUUCAUCAAAAUGAAUAUGUUGUAUCUACACACCAAAAUAAAUUUAAUGAAUAUUUAAUUGUAUUUUUCAUGGAAAUAAGCCUAUAGUCAUCAAAAUUAAUGAGAUUAUAGUUUCACGUCUCUUUAGUUUUAACAAAACAUGACCCAUUAAUUUUAAUUGUUAGAACCGAAGAGACGUGGAUCUAUAAUCCCAUUUAUUUGGAUGAUAAUGCGCUUAUUUCAAUGAAAAAUACCAUUAAAUAUUCGUUAAAUUUCUUUCGGUGUGUAGAUAGAGCAUAUUCAUUUUGAUGAACUGGAGAAGUUAGUAGUACACCCUAAACCUCAAAUGAUAUGAUUCCUACUUAAAAAAUGAUAACAUCUCUUGAAUCAUACUUAAAGUAUGGCCAAUGGAGAGAUUCAAAGAUCAUAAGCAAAUCCUAAUAACUAGUAAAUAAUUCAAUGGCAACAAUUUAAUUGAGUUUUGAAAAUUCCUAAAAAAAUUGAUUUUGAUGAGUUACACUUACAUAGGAAGGAUAAAGUACAAGUCUUGUAAAAAUCGUGAGAAACUGAAAAGCAAAACAUAAGAAAUUUGUGUAUAAAAAUAUGCAUAUCCCUUAUUUUAAUCAAAUUAUAAAUGUGUAGUUUUCUAUGGUAAAAUCAUCUCUACUUAAAACAUAUUUCCAUAAUAUUUAUGAAUUAUUUGGAGUAAAUUCUAAUAAUUUUUUUUUUUUGGUUAAAUUCUAAUCAUUAUGAAUCAUAAACAGAUGUGAAUGAGCAUGUGGGAUAAAUCAUCAAAUUCCAAAAUUUCAUAUGCAUUAACUUGUACAACGUUUCUUUUUCAUUUUUGUAAUAUUUUUUCCUUUUCUUUCAUGAAAGGUUAAAACAAUAAUAAAAAGUUAGUAAACAAGUUUAUGAUUAACAAGUUUUUAUGUAACCUCCUUACUAAAAACUAAAAUUGUUUAAUUGAUGUAAAGACAUCAUGAGCUUUAUAUAUUAUAAAGUGAUCAAAUCAUUUUCUAUUUGUUAGGGAGCAAAAUAUGGGUGAAAUUAUAAAAUUUGUUUACUCUAGAAUCAUUUUUCUUUCACUAUUUCUUUUGGCAACCGAUACCCAAGGUGAGACAAUUUUCCAUCCUUUUACAAUACGCUUCUCUAAUUUGUAAUUAACAUUUUAUCUCCUUUUAUUAACAUUCUUAUUUUUUUACAUGGCAGCACUUAUUGAAUGUUAUACUUACUUUGAUUGUCCUAAAGAUAUGUGUAUUUUUCCUUCUAUUGUGGUGUGUGUUAGAAAUCAAUGUGACUGUGUUGAAAUGUUUUAGACUAAGCAGAUUGGGCGGUGAAGAAUGAGGUUUUGCAUUAGAAAAAGAUCUAAGAAAAUUAGAAUAUUUCAUGAGUUGUCAAUUAGUUAUUGUGUAAUGAUUGGAUUUUUUUUAUAUCCUUUCUUAUUUUUUUAAAUGAUUCAUAGGAGAAGGUGGAGAUGAACUUCAUAGGAGAAGUAUGAUUGAUAGGUAGAAACAUAGGGAAAACCAUUAGAAUUCAUCAUAUUUAAUUGUAUUGAAAAUGAUUCAGUAAUGAGUACAUGGAUGGUUUUAGAAUGUCAAAAACUUUAGUUACCGUUAUAGCAUUCUAAAAAUAAUCUUUAGUUUUAGUAGAAGGUUUUAGAAUGUCAAAAACUUGAAGCUGACAAUUGGCCUUAUCACAUUGCAGAUGCAAUAGAAUCAAAGUUCAUACUUUUCCAGAUAUCAAGUUAGAGGAUUAGAGAAAAGUGGGAAAAAAACCUCAUUACAAAGAAAAUUAAGUGCAUUGAAUAAUAUAAGAAGUUAACUAUUUUUCAUAUGUUGAAGGUUAAGAAGCUUAUAAGUUUAUGAACCUAAAAUUCUAGGCCUUAAACAAUUUAAGAGAGUAAAAAAUUUGAGCCCUUAGGCUUUGUUUGGGAGUUUGGAGGGGAAGGGAGGGGAGGACUUUGGCGGGUUGAAAAUAUAUAGAAAAAUGGACAAAAAAUUCACAUUUUUUGAAAGAACAGUUUUUUAGAGAAUGAUAAGCUAAUACUUAUGAUUAAUAUACUUUUAAUUUU